rnacentral:rRNA from 1 species
CGAAGGUGGCAAGCGUUGUUCGGAUUUACUGGGCGUACAGGGAGCGUAGGCGGUUGGAUAAGCCCUCCGUGAAAUCUCCAGGCUUAACUUGGAAAGUGCAGAGGGGACUGUUCAGCUAGAGGAUGGGAGAGGAGCGCGGAAUUCCCGGUGUAGCGGUGAAAUGCGUAGAGAUCGGGAGGAAGGCCGGUGGCGAAGGCGGCGCUCUGGAACAUUUCUGACGCUGAGGCUCGAAAGCGUGGGGAGCAAACAGGAUUAGAUACCCUGGUAGUCCACGCCUUAAACGAUGGAUACUAAGUGUCGGCGGGUUACCGCCGGUGCCGCAGCUAACGCAGUAAGUAUCCCGCCUGGGAAGUACGGCCGCAAGGUUG